rnacentral:rRNA from 1 species
GAACCGCAUGGUUCAAUAGUGAAAGACGGUUUUGCUGUCACUUAUAGAUGGAUCCGCGCCGCAUUAGCUAGUUGGUAAGGUAACGGCUUACCAAGGCAACGAUGCGUAGCCGACCUGAGAGGGUGAUCGGCCACACUGGAACUGAGACACGGUCCAGACUCCUACGGGAGGCAGCAGUAGGGAAUCUUCCGCAAUGGGCGAGAGCCUGACGGAGCAACGCCGCGUGAGUGAUGAAGGUCUUCGGAUCGUAAAACUCUGUUAUUAGGGAAGAACAAAUGUGUAAGUAACUAUGCACGUCUUGACGGUACCUAAUCAGAAAGCCACGGCUAACUACGUGCCAGCAGCCGCGGUAAUACGUAGGUGGCAAGCGUUAUCCGGAAUUAUUGGGCGUAAAGCGCGCGUAGGCGGUUUUUUAAGUCUGAUGUGAAAGCCCACGGCUCAACCGUGGAGGGUCAUUGGAAACUGGGAAACUUGAGUGCAGAAGAGGAAAGUGGAAUUCCAUGUGUAGCGGUGAAAUGCGCAGAGAUAUGGAGGAACACCAGUGGCGAAGGCGACUUUCUGGUCUGUAACUGACGCUGAUGUGCGAAAGCGUGGGGAUCAAACAGGAUUAGAUACCCUGGUAGUCCACGCCGUAAACGAUGAGUGCUAAGUG